rnacentral:rRNA from 1 species
UACGUAGGGUGCAAGCGUUGUCCGGAAUCAUUGGGCGUAAAGCGCGUGUAGGCGGCUCGGUAAGUCCGCUGUGAAAGUCCAGGGCUCAACCCUGGAAUGCCGGUGGAAACUGUCGAGCUAGAGUCCGGAAGAGGCGAGUGGAAUUCCUGGUGUAGCGGUGAAAUGCGCAGAUAUCAGGAGGAACACCAAUGGCGAAGGCGGCUCGCUGGGCCGGUACUGACGCUGAGACGCGAAAGCGUGGGGAGCAAACAGG